GGGGAAUUCGCCGGGGAAAUCAGGAAGGGAAAAGGAGGGGGAAGGCCGUGAAAGCCAUCAGCGCUCGCACAUGACCAGGCGCAGCCAAUGACGUGCCCAAAUAGGUCAUAAAAGGUCUAUUACGAGUUGUAAAUUCUCUUCAAACAAAAAGGAAUUUACUGCAAUUCCUUGCGGAUUUUUUUUUUUAAACCCAGGCUGCUACAAACAGUGGGUUUUGUUUUCCUGGGUUCAUUUCUUUCUGCCUUCUCUCUCUGCUGUUUGUCUUUACGCGCUACCAAGGCUCACCACCACCUUUCUGUUGCCUUGGCCUGUCUCGGGGAGCAGCAGAUCGGUGGGAAUCUUCUGAAUGAUUGACGCAGCCCAGUCAUCAGCCCCCUUACACCGGAGGCCAAACGCUGCCGAGUAGAGGCCCUGAUUCGAUUCGGAAGCGUUUAGCCCAAACAUAGGGGCCUGAACCCACACCCUACCACUUGCCUGUGAGCAACGCAACAGUGCGUAAAAGUCCAUUUGCUGCGGGGGCGGGAGGAAGUCCAGCAGGCGAGGACUCUUUUGCUAGGUCUACAUUAUGUCUAGGCCUCUGGGCUUUAGAAUUGCACUGCCUCACUCCGACCCUCCUUGCCCUGCGCUGGGAAGGCUGAAGGGGUUGGGAAUGGGGAACAUCCCAAUGAAACUCAGCUCCUGCAAAUCUCGAAUCUACUUUACUCCAAAGGCUCGUCACGUUCCGGAGCUCCUGAAAGCUCCGUUUGGAGUAGCAAAUAAAAACCACCCGCUUGUGCGAAUUAAUGAGCGUCUCUUCCUUGUUGCAGGAAAAAGCCUCCCCAGAAGCUUUUCCGGCCCUGGCUGCGGAUGGAACGUUGACGAGAGACAAAGCCUCCCUUGGCUGCCGAUCCAUUGAUUUGUAACGUUCUAGAACGCGCUGGGAGUUCUGCGCUCUGGAGGAGUAACCAGGCGUUCUACCGGAUCUGCAAUGGCAAAAGAAUUCGAGACGUGGAAGGAAGGGUGGACGAGGGAGACAAAGCAUGCCUCCAGUGUUUAAAACGGCCUCCCCUUCUUGAACUUUAAAUCAAAACCGACAUAAAUACACCCAGCAUUUUGUCCACACACGCUACAGGGACGUUUAUUCUGGUUCCGUUUUCUUUCAUGCAGCAAUUGGGACUGACUGACCGCACACUUAAGGGUACUCACUUAAGGCCCCCCUGGACUCAGUUGCACAAUUUGUGUGUACAAAUUGCAUUAUUUGGAUGUUCAGUGCGGUUCACUUUCUUCCGCUGGAGAUAGGCUGGAAGUGGUGGGGAAAUUUGCCGCUGUCUGUAGUGUGGGAUCCAAACUCUGUUCACUUGAAUUUUGUUGCUUCCCUCCGUAACCCAAAGACGUCUUUAAUAACUGGCGAAUUCAUCCAAUUAUUUAUGGCCAUUUAUGUGGGAUUAGGGUUUAAGCGCCUUCUGUUGGAAAACGACGUUCCCGGCGGCCUGACAGGUUCAGACUCACUUGAGAUUUGCUUCCAAGUCAGCUAUGUCAUUGGGGCCGGUUUGAAUAUCUAAGAUGUGGGUUUCUCGCCUUGAAGGACCGCAUAGCGACUCCGCAAGCUUGAUUUCCACCCGAUUCCAAAAUGGCCGCUUCCUCGUAAAUAAUCAGGAUCGACAAACUCUAGGACAGUGUUAUGUUUGAU